rnacentral:rRNA from 1 species
AGUGAACGCUGGCGGUAUGCCUAACACAUGCAAGUCGAACGGCAGCACAGUAAGAUCUUGCUCUUACGGGUGGCGAGUGGCGGACGGGUGACGAAUACAUCGGAUUCUUCUUUUUCGUGGGUGAUAACGUAGGGAAACUUAUGCUAAUACCUCAUACGACCUACGGGUGAAAGCAGGGGAUCUUCGGACUUUGCGCGAUUGUAUUAGCCGAUGUCGGAUUAGCUAGUUGGCGGGGUAACGGCACACCAAGGCGACGAUCCGUAGCUGGUCUGAGAGGAUGAUCAGCCACACUGGAACUGAGACACGGUCCAGACUCCUACGGGAGGCAGCAGUGGGGAAUAUUGGACAAUGGGCGCAAGCCUGAUCGAGCCAUGCCGCGUGGGUGAAGAAGGCCUUCGGAUUGUAAAGCCCUGUUAUUGGGAAAGAAAAGCAGCAGGUUAAUACACCGCUGUCCUGACGGUACCCAAAGAAUAAGCACCGGCUAACUUCGUG